GUUCCUGCUAAUUGCGAACAUGCCAUGAGGACAAGUGUUGGGUAAUCUUACCAAAGGUCUCUCCUCCCUUCCUGUCAUUUGCAGAGAGGACACGGGAACAAGAGGAUGGCAAAGAGAAGGUGAAGGAACCUCAUGGUGAGAAGUGUGCUGAGGACUCCCCAUCAUCAGUGUACAACUAAUGUUUGCCAGGACCUCAGACCAGCUAAGCAGCUCUUCUGGUGAUGUAAGAGAUUCAUCAUCCUGCUACAAAACCUGGGAUGUGGGGCUGAAAAUAUGGAUUUAACAUCUACACAUGCAUGCACCAAAGGCUGAAUAGAAGAGGAAAGAAAAGUGGCACCCCUGCAAAUUUCUGCAAAUUGACCUGAAGAGACUCUGACAGUGGUCACUGAACCACCCGGUGAAGACUAGUGUUCCUUUUCUUUUCUGAAAUAAAAUAGUUUUUAGCAAAAUCACACUGCAUCCCCAUGAGAAGAUGCAGAGCAGAUUCUUGCUUUGGCCUUCAGAUCA